UACGGAGGAUGCGAGCGUUAUCCGGAUUUAUUGGGUUUAAAGGGUGCGUAGGCGGAUCGUUAAGUCAGUGGUCAAAUUGAGGGGCUCAACCCCUUCCCGCCAUUGAAACUGGCGAUCUUGAGUGGAAGAGAAGUAUGCGGAAUGCGUGGUGUAGCGGUGAAAUGCAUAGAUAUCACGCAGAACCCCGAUUGCGAAGGCAGCAUGACGGCUUCCUACUGACGCUGAAGCACGAAAGCGUGGGGAUCGAACAGG
rnacentral:rRNA from 1 species